UGGCCACCAGCCGUGUGCGCUUAUCGUCCUUUCGAAGUUGUGCGUACAGUGUGGUUGUGCGUGAGCAGUUUUUCCACCUUGUGCGCUUCUGGACCUAGUGAUUCUGCUCGCGGUGGUGUCUUUAUUAUUCCCAGUGGUUUGUGUUGCUUAACGUGCAAGCCUAGAAGAACGUCGUCAAGGGAGAAUCGUUCACACCUACUUGUUUUGCCGCCGUUGCGUGUGUGGUGGUGGUGUUUGUGCUUGAGUGUUUGGCUUGUUUGGCGCGCUAGGCGUUCUCUACAAUUGCUUUGGGGCCGCCUUCGUGGUGGUAUCAAGUGUUGCCUACAUCAGAAGAACCAUUGAACACUCAGUAGAAAGACUGGUCACCAUUAUCCCUUGUGACUGCUGUAGUUGCUGAUUUGCUAUGAAGGCUUGUGUAUGCAUGGCAGACCAAUACUGACAAGAAAAAGAAGAUGCUGUUUGUGCAACAGCUAAGCGUUGUGUUUUUACAUUUGCACUACAUCUAUGAUCCUGGUAUCGUGUAUUUGUGUUCUGUGACCAGUGACUCUUGCACCCAGAAGUGUGCAUUCACAAUAGUUAAUGCAGCGCUUGUGCACAGCCUAUUUUUAUGGUAACAGUUGUCAUCAAGCAAUCUCGAUAAAAUGGCCAUUGUGUAGAAUUUGGAUGUGGCUUCUGGCUCUUAGCAAAUGUGAAAGUUUCAGGAUGUAUUUACCAUUCUUUAGGUGUCUAGCAAUACCAUGUGGGAAGAUAACAAUGUAAUACAUUGAUCAAGCAUGCAGACAAGAUUGAAAAAUCCGAAAGCAUGUUUUUUACCAACAUUUGUGCAUAAUCAUAUUUUGUGGUAAAAUUAAACCUACACUAAAGAAGAUGAAUUGAGAGCCUCAUUUUGUUGCAAUGCUUUCUUUAUUGCUUUUGCCAUUUGUAUUUGAUUUGUCCGAUGCUAUUAUUUAUAGAACGAGACACUCGGUGCACUGGAGUCUAACAAAGUGAAUCUAAUUGAAGUAAAACAGUUAUUGCCAAACGCAACCUUAGAAUACCAAAACUAUGUGACCAUUCUUGAGGCACUGGGAUAUGGUAUAGUGUCCUUGAUUAGAAAUUAAAGAAGCUCUUUGCAUUCUUA